CCUACGGGCGGCAGCAGUGAGGAAUAUUGGUCAAUGGACGAGAGUCUGAACCAGCCAAGUCGCGUGAAGGAUGACUGCUCUAUGGGUUGUAAACUUCUUUUAUAUGGGAAUAAAAGGUUCCACGUGUGGGUAUUUGUAUGUACCAUAUGAAUAAGCAUCGGCUAACUCCGUCCCAGCAGCCGCGGUAAUACGGAGGAUCCGAGCGUUAUCCGGAUUUAUUGGGUUUAAAGGGUGCGUAGGUUGAUUGUUAAGUCAGUUGUGAAAGUUUGUGGCUCAACCGUAAAAUUGCAGUUGAAACUGGCAGUCUUGAGUGGGCGAGAGGUAUGCGGAAUGCGUGGUGUAGCGGUGAAAUGCAUAGAUAUCACGCAGAACUCCGAUUGCGAAGGCAGCAUACCGGCGCCCAACUGACGCUGAAGCACGAAAGCGUGGGUAUCGAACAGGAUUAGAUACCCUUGUAGUC
rnacentral:rRNA from 1 species